AUUGAACGCUGGCGGCAGGCUUAACACAUGCAAGUCGAGCGGGGUGAUGGUGCUUGCACUAUCACUUAGCGGCGGACGGGUGAGUAAUGCUUAGGAAUCUGCCUAUUAGUGGGGGACAACAUCUCGAAAGGGAUGCUAAUACCGCAUACGUCCUACGGGAGAAAGCAGGGGAUCACUUGUGACCUUGCGCUAACAGAUGAGCCUAAGUCGGAUUAGCUAGUUGGUGGGGUAAAGGCCUACCAAGGCGACGAUCUGUAGCGGGUCUGAGAGGAUGAUCCGCCACACUGGGACUGGGACACGGCCCAGACUCCUACGGGAGGAGGCAGUGGGGAAUAUUGGACAAUGGGGGGAACCCUGAUCCAGCCAUGCCGCGUGUGUGAAGAAGGCCUUAUGGUUGUAAAGCACUUUAAGCGAGGAGGAGGCUCUUUUGGUUAAUACCCAAGAUGAGUGGACGUUACUCGCAGAAUAAGCACCGGCUAACUCUGUGCCAGCCGCCGCCGUAA
rnacentral:rRNA from 1 species